GUGAGGAAUAUUGCGCAAUGGAGGCAACUCUGACGCAGCCAUGCCGCGUGCAGGAAGAAGGCGCUACGCGUUGUAAACUGCUUUUAACCGGGGAGAAACCCCAGGACGUGUCCUGGGUUGACGGUACCGGAGGAAUAAGCACCGGCUAACUUCGUGCCAGCAGCCGCGGUAAUACGAAGGGUGCAAGCGUUAUCCGGAUUCAUUGGGUUUAAAGGGUGCGUAGGCGGAGCGUUAAGUCAGUGGUGAAAUCCUGCAGCUUAACUGUAGACUUGCCAUUGAUACUGGCGCUCUUGAGUGCGCUUGAAGUGGGCGGAAUGUGCCGUGUAGCGGUGAAAUGCUUAGAUAUGGCACAGAACACCAAUUGCGAAGGCAGCUCACUAAGGCGAUACUGACGCUGAGGCACGAAAGCGUGGGGAUCGAACAGGAUUAGAAACCCUUGUAGUCC
rnacentral:rRNA from 1 species